rnacentral:rRNA from 1 species
UACGUAGGGUCCGAGCGUUGUCCGGAAUUAUUAGGCGUAAAGGGCUCGUAGGCGGUUUGUCGCGUCGGGAGUGAAAACUCAGGGCUCAACCCUGAGCGUGCUUCCGAUACGGGCAGACUAGAGGUAUGCAGGGGAGAACGGAAUUCCUGGUGUAGCGGUGGAAUGCGCAGAUAUCAGGAGGAACACCGGUGGCGAAGGCGGUUCUCUGGGCAUGACCUGACGCUGAGGAGCGAAAGCAUGGGGAGCGAACAGG